GCAUAUCAAUAAGCGGAGGAAAAGAAACCAACAGGGAUUGCCCUAGUAACGGCGAGUGAAGCGGCAAAAGCUCAGAUUUUAAAUCUGGCGUCAUUUUGGCGUCCGAGUUGUAGUCUGUAGAGAAGUAUUCGAGUGUGGCUUUGGCUUAAGUUCCUUGGAACAGGGCGUCAUAGAGGGUGAGAACCCCGUUAACGGCCUUUGUCUUAUGCUCAUGUGAAUCUCCUUCAACGAGUCGAGUUGUUUGGGAAUGCAGCUCUAAAUGGGUGGUAAAUUCCAUCUAAAGCUAAAUACUGGCAAGAGACCGAUAGCGCACAAGUAGAGUGAUCGAAAGAUGAAAAGAACUCUGAACAGAGAGUUAAAUAGUACGUGAAAUUGUUGAAAGGGAAGCACUUGCGACCAGACGCACUUGCAGCUGAUCAGCCUCCAUUCUUGGGGGUGCACUCUGCUGUCUGUGGGUCAGCAUCAGUUAUAGUGGUGGGAAAAAGACUAGGGGAAUGUAGCUCCUUUCGGGGAGUGUUAUAGCCCUUUGUGCAAUGCUGCCUGCUGUGACUGAGGACCGCGCUUCGGCGAGGAUGCUGGCAUAAUGGUUGUAAGUGAC
rnacentral:rRNA from 1 species